rnacentral:rRNA from 1 species
CAGUCGAGGGGCAUCAGGAAGAAGCUUGCUUUCUUUGCUGGCGACCGGCGCACGGGUGAGUAACACGUAUCCAACCUGCCCUUUACUCGGGGAUAGCCUUUCGAAAGAAAGAUUAAUACCCGAUAGUAUAAUGAUUCCGCAUGGUUUCAUUAUUAAAGGAUUCCGGUAAAGGAUGGGGAUGCGUUCCAUUAGGUUGUUGGUGAGGUAACGGCUCACCAAGCCUUCGAUGGAUAGGGGUUCUGAGAGGAAGGUCCCCCACAUUGGAACUGAGACACGGUCCAAACUCCUACGGGAGGCAGCAGUGAGGAAUAUUGGCCAAUGGGCGUUAGCCUGAACCAGCCAAGUAGCGUGAAGGAUGAAGGCUCUAUGGGUCGUAAACUUCUUUUAUAUAAGAAUAAAGUGCAGUAUGUAUACUGUUUUGUAUGUAUUAUAUGAAUAAGGAUCGGCUAACUCCGUGCCAGCAGCCGCGGUAAUACGGAGGAUCCGAGCGUUAUCCGGAUUUAUUGGGUUUAAAGGGAGCGUAGGUGGACUGGUAAGUCAGUUGUGAAAGUUUGCGGCUCAACCGUAAAAUUGCAGUUGAUACUGUCAGUCUUGAGUACAGUAGAGGUGGGCGGAAUUCGUGGUGUAGCGGUGA